UUAUUUGUUGAGGAGACUUUGGAGAAUUGCCUUAAGCAAUUAUUCUAUUUACAAGGAAUUAUUCUACUAACAAGUUAUUAUUUAGUAACAAUAAAUAAGAGGAAAAGUAUCCUCUCUCUUUUUAAUCAACUAGUACCAAAGAAAAAAAAUCUGACCUAACCAAUCAAAAUCAAAGGAGAAAAAGUACAAACUUCCCAUUCUACCCAAUUACUGUAACAACCUCAAAAUUAUCACCAUUUUAAAUUACUUUAAAAUGCUAGAUGUCAAAUGCGAGCAAGCAAAACAAUCAUCUAAAGAGGUUGUUAGAAUAUUGCUGGGCCCCACUCCUGCAGAGAUUCUGCUUCAGUGGAUCUGAUCAGAUAAUGUGCAUUUCUAAUGAGGUCCCAGGUGAUGAUGCUGCUGCUGCUCCAAGGACCACACUUUGAAUAGUACUGCUUUAGACAAUCGUAAUCCCAUAUUAUGGAUGCAGCACAAUUGAGCCACUUUUCUGCUGUCGGACACUGGUUUCCAAAUAUAUGUUCCUAUAAUGUUUGAAUGAACACCUUUGUACGUUAUCAGAAAUAACCUACAAACUUAAGGCUCUUGAUAUAUAUUGCCAAUUGAAUUUCUAAAAAAUGCUACCAAUUUGUACUCCAUUCCUAGCAGGGUAUAUGAGUGUCAGCCUUAUCAACUCUGACUCACUCAGGGUAUUAUCAUUUAUUAUUAUUGUUAUCAAUUUAACAGGGGAAAAAACUCUCAUUUUAGUUUGCAUUUCCUUGAUAAUGAAAAUAAAUGUUUUUUCACUUAUUAACAGAUUAGACUUCUUUUAUUUGAAAGAUUUGUUUAUAUUGUUUGACUUUUCUAUUGGUGAGUUGUUGUCUAAAUUGCUUAUCAAAGCAUUCUCUGUCAUUUUUGUGUAUAAUUUUCUCAUUUUCCAUUUAAAUUUAUUAUUGCUUAUGUUAUUUGACAUAAAAGAAUUUGAAAAUUGGGAAUAAAUUUUAAUCUACUGAUCUCUUUAUUGAUACCUUCCAUUGCUAUUAUGGUUAGAAAGUCAUUUCUCACCAAAAUAAAAAUGUACAAUUUAACUUUUUUAUUGUUUUUAACAUUUGUUACUCUAUCUUAAUUUACUUUAGUACAAAGAUGAGGAACACAUAAUGCCAUCAUAUUCUAGGGUUCAAAUUACAUAUAAGAGAGUAUAUUUCUAGGCUGCCUACUCUGCUCGAUUUAAAUGUCUAGCAAAUAUUACAUCAGUAUGACACUGUUUCAAAUACCACAGCUGGAUCAAUAUGUUUUAACAUCAGGUUGAACAAGCCCCACAACAUUAUUCUUGAUGGACAAACUCUAAUCUAAUUUUCACAGAGCUGUAAGAGAGGUCUGUGCCUAAAUCACACGUUUACUACGAGGAAUUAACUGAAAGCACCUACAUGAAGACACCUGGAAACUAUAAAGAACUUCCUGGAAACUAUAAAGAACUGUAUAAUUAUAAGUUCACAAUCUACUGAAGAGCACAGUAAGCAUGACCUUUAAAAAGCUAUACGGUAAAUGUCAUGAGGGGAGAAGUACUGCACACAUGGGAGCCCAGAGCACGAGCAACUAGUCCAGACUUGGUAGAAGUGAGAGCACAGAAGGUGUCAAAGGGGAUUUCUGAGUAAGCACAUGGCAUUGUUUGAUGUGUUAGGAUUUAAUACAUCUUGUGAGCCUCUACAUUUAGAAUGUCACCAGCCAGAUUCUAGAGACACUGCACAUCUCACCUUUCACUAGUUUCAACUACAAUUUGAUUCCAGUUGUCUCCACCUCACCCGUCCAACCUUCUGCUCAUUCUGAGAGCUGGCACUAUAAGUCACCUGUGCCCUCUCCUCAUAUAAACAGCAUAAACAACCUCUCAGUUUGGCAGUAGAAGAUAUGCUAAUUGACAUUUUGAAAAUGGUCAUUUAUAUGAAAGAUAUACAUUUUUUGUUAACAAUUUGGUUUAUUGUAACUUUUAGCCACAAUAUUUCUCCCCAGGUCAAAAAGAACACUGGAACAUGAAAAGAACAGUAAUUAAUUCUUUUCUAUAAGUAGUAUGAAGUGGCUGCUCAUCCUAUGUCGCCACUUGAAGAAAGCGAACUACAGGCUGCUCAUUAAAAUAUCAUAAAUAUCCUUAAAAUGCUUUAAAAAUUUGCAAAAGAGUCUUAUAUAAUCUGGGCAAUGAUUUAAAAGAAGAAAAUGAACAAGAUUACCACUUUUAACAUCAUUAAAAUCUCAAAACAGUAAUUUUUGUCAAAAAUGUAUUUAUCUCCCUAUUAUUUUUACUUGCUCAUUCUUUUCAAAGCAUAACAGGUUGCUUUCCAAAUGAGGAAGAUACAUUUUGUGAAACUAAUGAAAGACUUUACAUUUAACCUUUUUAAAGUAGUAAAUAAUUUUUUAAAAAAAAAACUUGUUUCUCCUUCCCCUUAACUGUCUGCUUCUUUGCUAUUCCGGAAUCCCUAUAAGUUUACUAAAGAGUAUUUUUUAGUUCCCUUAAAUGUUUUAGUUGCUUAAUUUUUCCCUCAUAAUCUUACGAGAAAUGCGUAUUCGUAAUUAAAACACCUUCAACAACAAAAAGUUUCUGAAUUUAGAAACAAAAAAGUAGCAGGAAAAAUACACUGCUAUUCAAAGUAAACACCUGCAAUAAAUUAUGUAUUUAUAGAAUUAAAAUUUUAAGAUUGAUCUAAAGCAGUUGUUCUUCACCCUCAACCUGGACAAGUUCAGCCUACCUACAGGCCCUCAUUAUGCGGGCCCUAUAUCUGUCUGCCAACAGGACUGUCUACCAUUGUAGCAAUGAAUGAGUAGAAUGAAAGCACUCAGGACUCAGGCAAACAUUAACAAAAUGUUCAUUCUAGUUGCUCUCCAAGAUUUUGGUAUUAUGUGUAUACUAUAUGAAUGUUACUGAUGAAGGCAUAUGUAUCUUUGGAAUUUUCAAUGUUUUUCCCUCAUGUUCAAUAUGUUGUAAUGCAGUACUCUUAGUCCAAAUGCAUUUCUCUAUCUACUCUCUUUGCUAUGUUGGGGCCCAACGCAACAAAAUACAGGAAAGCAUUAUGUAUACUGAUUAAUAAGAUUUAGCUGAGGUCUUCAAGGAGCU
rnacentral:lncRNA from 1 species